rnacentral:rRNA from 1 species
UACGGGGGGGGCAAGCGUUGUUCGGAAUUAUUGGGCGUAAAGGGCUCGUAGGCGGCCAAUUAAGUCAGACGUGAAAUCCCUCGGCUUAACCGGGGAACUGCGUCUGAUACUGGAUGGCUUGAGUUUGGGAGAGGGAUGCGGAAUUCCAGGUGUAGCGGUGAAAUGCGUAGAUAUCUGGAGGAACACCGGUGGCGAAGGCGGCAUCCUGGGCCAUCACUGGCGCUGAGUGAGCGAAAGCCAGGGGAGCAAACGGG